GAAUUGACGGGGGCCCGCACAAGCGGUGGAGCAUGUGGUUUAAUUCGAUGCAACGCGAAGAACCUUACCUGGUCUUGACAUCCACGGAAGUUUUCAGAGAUGAGAAUGUGCCUUCGGGAACCGUGAGACAGGUGCUGCAUGGCUGUCGUCAGCUCGUGUUGUGAAAUGUUGGGUUAAGUCCCGCAACGAGCGCAACCCUUAUCCUUUGUUGCCAGCGGUCCGGCCGGGAACUCAAAGGAGACUGCCAGUGAUAAACUGGAGGAAGGUGGGGAUGACGUCAAGUCAUCAUGGCCCUUACGACCAGGGCUACACACGUGCUACAAUGGCGCAUACAAAGAGAAGCGACCUCGCGAGAGCAAGCGGACCUCAUAAAGUGCGUCGUAGUCCGGAUUGGAGUCUGCAACUCGACUCCAUGAAGUCGGAAUCGCUAGUAAUCGUGGAUCAGAAUGCCACGGUGAAUACGUUCCCGGGCCUUGUACACACCGCCCGUCACACCAUGGGAGUGGGUUGCAAAAGAAGUAGGUAGCUUAACCUUCGGGAGGGCGCUUACCACUUUGUGAUUCAUGACUGGGGUGAAGUCGUAACAAGGUAACCGUAGGGGAACCUGCGGUUGGAUCACCUCCUUACCUUAAAGAAGC
rnacentral:rRNA from 4 species